rnacentral:rRNA from 1 species
CCAUAUGGUCGACCUGCAGGCGGCCGCGAAUUCACUAGUGAUUUAUUACCGCGGCUGCUGGCACAGAGUUAGCCGGUGCUUAUUCUGCGGGUACCGUCAUAGCAACGAGUUAUUCGCUCGUUACCUUUCUUCCCCACCUAAAGUGCUUUACAACCCGAAGGCCUUCUUCACACACGCGGCAUCGCUGGAUCAGGGUUUCCCCCAUUGUCCAAGAUUCCCCACUGCUGCCUCCCGUAGGAGUCUGGGCCGUGUCUCAGUCCCAGUGUGGCUGGUCAUCCUCUCAGACCAGCUACGGAUCGUCGCCUUGGUAGGCUUUUACCCCACCAACUAGCUAAUCCGACGUAGGCUCACCCCAGAGCGCAAGGCCUUUCGGUCCCCUGCUUUUGAUCUCUCGAUAUCAUGUGGUAUUAGCCCGAGUUUCCUCGGGUUAUCCCACGCUCCAGGACAGAUUCCUACGUGUUACUCACCCGUCCGCCACUCGCCACCCCAUAAAGACCGAAAUCUUUACUGUGCUGCCGUUCGACUUGCAUGUGUUAGGCAUGCCGCCAGCGUUCAAUCUGAGCCAUGAUCAAACUCUAAUCGAAUUCCCGCGGCCG